rnacentral:siRNA from 1 species
AUCUAUCGGGUUCGAGGAAUGGUC